UAUUGCUCAGUUGGUAGAGCACAAGGUUCUUAACCUUGUGGUCGUGGGUUCAAGCCCCACUA
rnacentral:tRNA from 1 species